rnacentral:rRNA from 1 species
AGCGAACGCUGGCGGCAGGCCUAACACAUGCAAGUCGAACGAACCCUUCGGGGUUAGUGGCGGACGGGUGAGUAACACGUGGGAACGUGCCCUUUGGUUCGGAAUAACGCAGGGAAACUUGAGCUAAUACCGGAUGUGCCCUUCGGGGGAAAGAUUUAUCGCCAUUGGAGCGGCCCGCGUCGGAUUAGCUAGUUGGUGGGGUAAAGGCCCACCAAGGCUACGAUCCGUAGCUGGUCUGAGAGGAUGAUCAGCCACACUGGGACUGAGACACGGCCCAGACUCCUACGGGAGGCAGCAGUGGGGAAUCUUGCGCAAUGGGCGAAAGCCUGACGCAGCCAUGCCGCGUGAAUGAUGAAGGUCUUAGGAUUGUAAAAUUCUUUCACCGGGGACGAUAAUGACGGUACCCGGAGAAGAAGCCCCGGCUAACUUCGUGCCAGCCGCCGCAGUAACAC